UUUGAGUCCUAUGGUAAAACCAUUUCAGGUGGUGCGUUUGGGCCGAAUAAUCUGGUAUAUAAACCAUGAACGGUUUUUGAUGAUCAGUAAAAAAAAUGAGGUCUAGAUAAGAAAAACAAAACAUCUACAUGGAAGAAAAAUAGAAACGGUGGAUACAUCAAACUAUACUUAUACUCAUGUGAGCAAUAAUUUCGGUGAGAUCAGGUGGCACGGCACAGCUGACGGUCAUCAAGAACCAAGGAAACGGUCGAAAAAGUGCUUGAAGAAUGGAGGAAUACCUUCGGCCGUAGCUGGAUUUGCUAUCAUAAAAUCAGCAGCAUUUAUACCAGUCUGAAUGACAAGGACCGUUUCGCUUGGGAUUGCAAUGUAAUAAGACAGAUGGGAAUCUUUAUGCUGACAUCAUCGCCGAGCAGCAUACGAUCCACUGCCAGUCCCACAGUUAAAUAUUUUUAUAGAAUGGGAACACGGAUUAAAGUGAUCCUCAUUAUUUAUCGGAAGUUCCCUGUUGCUGGAACCACUUGUGUCUGACUGGAUUGCAGAGAAAGAAAGCCAUUAGAAACAGCCGCAGAGUCAAGAAUGUAUUCAACUCAACGAUUUAAAGGAAUCUAAGCGAAGACCCUGAUGACUUUAAAUCUAGUAUUUAAGUGCAUGACGAACUUGUGUAAAGUAUCUAACGUAAAUUAAGUAUAUGGUCUUAUGUUUAUAUUAAGAAACAGAUGGUUUAUAGAUGAGUGUUUCAAUCUAAUAGUCAUAAAUUGUAGAUUAGAGUUGCAAUGUGGUGUAAAUUGUGUAAUCGAGUAUAACGUGUCUCAAUUUUCUGAAAUCUAUAAAAAGUCUUGUGAAUCAUCGCAUGUAAGGAUACCAGAAUAUGGCGCUACACUUUCUCCACCAAGAAACAGUUUAUAAUUGUCGUCAUUUUCGAGUUUCCUUCUGCCAUGUAAACGUCAAUUAAAUCAGUUAUCCGUUCAUGAUGGUUAAUUAUCGAUUUUACUCAACGAUGAUUAAACCGGGAUUUUUAAACAGAACCUUAUAAUAAUUCUCUAUCUAGUAAUUCAUAAGCUGAUACAGUUUUAACUGGCGUCUCGUGCUUAGUAAGUCCUUUGAAAAAUUCAUCAUGAAAUAAAUCAAGUUGUAAUUUCUUUUUACACGUUUGUACGUUUAUACUCAACUCGCAAAUCAACCAAGCGAGUAUUUUACCGUACUUACUCCUGGUGAUAACGUCUUAUCAAAUGGGAACCACCGAUCGAUUAUGUAUACGAACAAUCUUGUAUCUCCAGUAAAUUGAUAACGGUAAAACUGGUAAUUGAGAUCGAAAGAAACAUAGUUAAUUGUACCUAUAGAAUUUAUCACGAUAUUGUUCAGACUCUGAUACCUAUUUGCAUGGUUACAUUAUUCCUUCAUUUGUACAAAAUUUUUGGGAUUUUUAAUUUGUUUUUUAUACCUCCGUCAUUUUCCAUGCGACCAAACAUGUGUGUUUACGAUGUUCAAGCGCGCAUGCUCUGCGGAUGAGAAAUUUAAUGGCGUCUUCAAGUGCGGCUGUCAGACAUGAAAGUUUAUUUUGAAAAGUCAUGUAGGUACAUUCUUGAACAUCGGGAAAGUCAUAUUUGACUACAUCAUUUUCACUGGUCAUACACAUAUGUGGAUGCCAUCACGAUUUCUAAACGUAUGUCGUGCUUGUGUUUGGGUAUAUGCAUAUCGCAUUGAAACCUAAGAUGUUUGGUUUUAACGGUAAAUUUUUUUUAGAGAUAUUUUUGACACUUGAGUUUUAUUUAAUUUUAUUCAAUAUAUAGCUAAUCUUGACUAGUUUCACUAACCAAAGAAAUUUCACAGCUCAUUUAAAGGGGCUAUAAGAACUAGUACUAAUUAAAUUGAAAAUAACAACAGCAUAAAUGCGACACGAACAUUCUCUAUGUGAAAAUAAUGAAUUGUUUUUUUAAUUAUAAGCGUAAUAUAAUAUCUUCUAACUAGAAUUAUAAAAAUAUAGAUAUUGUGGUUAAUACGUACAGUAGCAUGUAGAAGUGAAGAUGAUUAAUAACGACGUGGAAGAACUCGUUAGACAAGUAGCUGUUAGAUUUACCAGAUAUUUGAACGAACGACGGACAUCGUAUCUAAUGUAUUUCAAGGAAGUAAACUUUCUCGUCUAAUCUAAGCAAGAUCUGCGUCUCGAUCAUCCUCCUGUGCCGCGCUUAUAAUUUUACAUUUAUUUCUAUUCUUCUGUGCGCCGCCAGAUUAAUUUCUCUGUGCUCGAUUAAUUCACUCGACAUACACACUGUAUUCCUUCGGCAGACUUGCCAGAUCUCCAGGAUACCAAUUAUUCUCAAUGCACCAUGGUCGCAGGAACUUGGGUCUAAUAUAAUUAUGCAUACCUUGAGUUGGCCGCAAAACUAGCAAGUUACGCAUCUGCGCACGUAUCCUGUAGAUCCUUAUGUGACUAAGUAUAGCGUAUACUGUGUAAUUCUUAAAUUGUAAAUCGUUACCAUUUUUUCACCAGAGCUUGAAUUGCUCCCAGGGUUGGCUACUUGCAAUACUGAGAUACCUGACAGCAACGCCAGAGGGCCGGUAAAUUACACAGUAAAGACCGAUAGUCCGCGCAUAGAAGAACAGUUUGAUGGAUGCUUCUAGUUUGGUGAAGGGAAAACAAAAUAUUGGCUAUCCUUCUGCACGUGGAUUAUGCAGCUUUAGUAACCUUUGUAAUCAGGGCUAUUGAAAUAGUUGAAUCUACAGCCUGUAGUAUUAUAAGGUGAACUCGUACCGAGAUAGGCGUGCGUAUCGAGGCGGAAGUGUUUAUUAUCCUUAACACUGAAUACUUGGCCUUAAUGCCUUUAUCCUGUCGCGCCAUAGAAACGGUUGUAGCGAUUCAGUACCAUACGAGGAACUGUCCUGUCUCUAGGAAUGUGAAUUCUGAGAUUUUGCAAAGAAAUAAACUGCAUUGGAAUGCACUCUUAAUACAUAAUACAAAAGGGAUCAUACUGUAAUGAGAUAAUGAAAGUAAUUCUCACAGUGAUAUAUAAUACUUGUAAUUUUUUGUAUUCUCUCACGAGAUGAUACCAAUUAGGAUGACAUCAUAUAUUUAUCUUUUUCUUUAAUUCUCUUUAGUACUCGGCCCCGUGUACAGUAACUUUUUCUCAUUGAGAAAAUUCCUCUGGAUCACCAAUGAGGGCGCGUGUUCCAUACUCGUUUUGCCGGUUCGUUUUACGCGCGUUGAACUGAACCGUUCCUACAGGACUUAUCAAAAGUGAUAGACACUGUAUUAUCCAUUUGAUUUAAUUCUACAAGAAUUUCAAAGAACAAAUUCGCAGGGUGAUCCGUAAAUAAUAAUCGUGGCGAAUUAAAUAAUUGCCAUGAUAAUACGCACGAAUAGUCCAGCUUCAAUGUUAAAGGAGAAGACAAGGACUGCCGGAUUCUUUCUUGGUAAAUGUCAGGUAGAAGAUUGACAAGUUUUAUUUUCACUUCCCAUGGAAAUGAAAAGUGCUCCAGUUAACUAAGAAUCGUAUCAA